rnacentral:rRNA from 1 species
GAUGAACGCUGGCGGCGUGCCUAAUACAUGCAAGUCGAGCGAACGGACGAGAAUCUUGCUUCUCUGAUGUUAGCGGCGGACGGGUGAGUAACACGUGGAUAACCUACCUAUAAGACUGGGAUAACUUCGGGAAACCGGAGCUAAUACCGGAUAAUAUUUUGAACCGCAUGGUUCAAAAGUGAAAGACGGUCUUGCUGUCACUUAUAGAUGGAUCCGCGCUGCAUUAGCUAGUUGGUAAGGUAACGGCUUGCCAAGGCAACGAUGCAUAGCCGACCUGAGAGGGUGAUCGGCCACACUGGAACUGAGACACGGUCCAGACUCCUACGGGAGGCAGCAGUAGGGAAUCUUACGCAAUGGGCGAAAGCCUGACGGAGCAACGCCGCGUGAGUGAUGAAGGUCUUCGGAUCGUAAAACUCUGUUAUUAGGGAAGAACAUAUGUGUAAGUAACUGUGCACAUCUUGACGGUACCUAAUCAGAAAGCCACGGCUAACUACGUG